AUUUACAACUAAUUUUCACACUUUUAUUUUAAGCUAAAGAAAGCGACUGGAUAAACUGAUUUCAACUGGACAAAUAAAAUUGAAUACAGUUAAUAUUGACCGACUGUUUACGAAGCAAAAACGGUUCAAGGUAUGUGCACGUGCGAAUGGGCCGAUCGAUGAACGCAACUCCAGUUUGCCUCUUCAUUCAUCCCACCUUCGACCACCCACGAACUGCAACACCGGCAUUCCCGAUGGCGCACACGGGGCCGCCCACAUGAAGCGGGAACUUUUACCGGAGAACGAAAGCGACGUAAAGCCCCGGCCAGAUUGGUUUACUUCGGAAGGCCACUUCGCUCCGGAUUCUCGUUCGACGUGCCGGAUCUACAGGAUCGAAAAUCUCCCGUGUUUCGCUCGCGCGAGGAGGAAUCCCUGCUCCUUUCUUUCCGCGCUCCUUCUCGCGCGUCCAUCCCAAAGAUCCCCUCGUUACCCGGACUUCGUCAAGAGCGCCGGAAUUACAACACUUGUGAGGAUGGGCGUGACAUUGUCUGGAGGGUCACGCUUGGCGCGCUGCCAAGAAAUUGUGCAUCGCGGGGACGCCGACACGCGAACGCUUCCUUCCAGGUCAAGAAGAAUAUCUAUUUUAUAGGUUGGCCAAGUUGGCAGAUGACAUAAAUAAUGGAAGCGGGAGUCGCGAUUGAACGUGGAAUGCAUAAUAAGUUCAACAACCGCGGCGAGUUGACAACUUAGCGUCUAUCGUAAAAAGAUCAUGAAAAAGGGUAUUACGGAAUAUCACGCUUUGUGCAAAAAUAAAAAGAGAUUUAUGUCUGAGAA